AGAGUUUGAUCCUGGCUCAGAUUGAACGCUGGCGGCGUGCCUUACACAUGCAAGUCGAACGGCAGCACGGGAGCAAUCCUGGUGGCGAGUGGCGAACGGGUGAGUAAUACAUCGGAACGUGCCCAGUUGUGGGGGAUAGCCCGGCGAAAGCCGGAUUAAUACCGCAUACGACCUACGGGUGAAAGCGGGGGAUCGCAAGACCUCGCGCAAUUGGAGCGGCCGAUGGCAGAUUAGCUUGUUGGUGGGGUAAAAGCCUACCAAGGCGACGAUCUGUAGCUGGUCUGAGAGGACGACCAGCCACACUGGGACUGAGACACGGCCCAGACUCUUACGGGAGGCAGCAGUGGGGAAUUUUGGACAAUGGGCGCAAGCCUGAUCCAGCCAUGCCGCGUGUGGGAAGAAGGCCUUCGGGUUGUAAACCACUUUUGUCAGGGAAGAAACGGUCUGAUCUAAUAAAUCGGACUAAUGACGGUACCUGAAGAAUAAGCACCGGCUAACUACGUGCCAGCAGCCGCGGUAAUACGUAGGGUGCAAGCGUUAAUCGGAAUUACUGGGCGUAAAGCGUGCGCAGGCGGCUAUGCAAGACAGAUGUGAAAUCCCCGGGCUCAACCUGGGAACUGCAUUUGUGACUGCAUGGCUAGAGUACGGCAGAGGGGGAUGGAAUUCCGCGUGUAGCAGUGAAAUGCGUAGAUACGCGGAGGAACACCGAUGGCGAAGGCAAUCCCCUGGGCCUGUACUGACGCUCAUGCACGAAAGCGUGGGGAGCAAACAGGAUUAGAUACCCUGGUAGUCCACGCCCUAAACGAUGUCAACUGGUUGUUGGACGGCUUGCUGUUCAGUAACGAAGCUAACGCGUGAAGUUGACCGCCUGGGGAGUACGGCCGCAAGGUUGAAACUCAAAGGAAUUGACGGGGACCCGCACAAGCGGUGGAUGAUGUGGUUUAAUUCGAUGCAAGGCGAAAAACCUUACCUACCCUUGACAUGUCUAGAAGUUUCCAGAGAUGGAUUCGUGCUCGAAAGAGAACUAGAACACAGGUGCUGCAUGGCCGUCGUCAGCUCGUGUCGUGAGAUGUUGGGUUAAGUCCCGCAACGAGCGCAACCCUUAUCAUUAGUUGCUACGCAAGGGCACUCUAAUGAGACUGCCGGUGACAAACCGGAGGAAGGUGGGGAUGACGUCAGGUCAUCAUGGCCCUUAUGGGUAGGGCUACACACGUCAUACAAUGGCCGGUACAGAGGGCUGCCAACUCGCGAGAGGGAGCUAGUCUCAGAAAACCCGUCGUAGUCCGGAUCGCAGUCUGCAACUCGACUGCGUGAAGUCGGAAUCGCUAGUAAUCGCGGAUCAGCUUGCCGCGGUGAAUACGUUCCCGGGUCUUGUACACACCGCCCGUCACACCAUGGGAGCGGGUUCUGCCAGAAGUAGUUAGCCUAACCGCAAGGAGGGCGAUUACCACGGCAGGGUUCGUGACUGGGGUGAAGUCGUAACAAGGUA
rnacentral:rRNA from 1 species